AUACGUAGGGUGCAAGCGUUAAUCGGAAUUACUGGGCGUAAAGCGUGCGCAGGCGGUUUUGUAAGACAGAGGUGAAAUCCCCGGGCUCAACUUGGGAACUGCCUUUGUGACUGCAAGGCUAGAGUACGGCAGAGGGGGAUGGAAUUCCGCGUGUAGCAGUGAAAUGCGUAGAUAUGCGGAGGAACACCGAUGGCGAAGGCAAGCCCCUGGGCCUGCACUGACGCUCAUGCACGAAAGCGUGGGAAGCAAACAGGAUUAGAUCCCCUGGUAGUCCACGCCCUAAACGAUGUCAACUGGUUGUUGGGGAUUUGUUUUCUCAGUAACGAAGCUAACGCGUGAAGUUGACCGCCUGGGGAGUACGGCCGCAAGGUUAAAACUCAAAUGAAUUGACGGGG
rnacentral:rRNA from 1 species